rnacentral:tRNA from 1 species
GGGUCCUUAGCUCAGUUGGUAGAGCAGCGGACUUUUAAUCCGUUGGUCGCGAGUUCGAGUCUCGCAGGGCCUA